GAUGAACGCUGGCGGCGUGCCUAAUACAUGCAAGUCGAGCGAACAGAUAAGGAGCUUGCUCCUUUGACGUUAGCGGCGGACGGGUGAGUAACACGUGGGUAACCUACCUAUAAGACUGGGAUAACUUCGGGAAACCGGAGCUAACCCGGUAAAAAUUUGGGACCCGAUGGUUCUAAAGGGAAAAGUGGGUUUGCUAUUACUUAUUGGUGGACCCGGGCCGUAUUAGGUAGUUGGUAAGGUAACGGGUUACCAAGGGGUAGAUACGUAGCCGACCUGAGAGGGGGGUCGGCCACAUUGGAACUGAGACACGGUCCAGACGCCUACGGGAGGCAGCAGUAGGGAAUCUUCCGCAGUAGGCGAAAGCCUGACGGAGCAACGCCGCGUGAGUGAUGAAGGGGUUCGGCUCGUAAAACUCUGUUAUUAGGGAAGAACAAAUGUGUAAGUAACUGUGCACGGCUUGACGGUACCUAAUCAGAAAGCCACGGCUAACUACGUG
rnacentral:rRNA from 1 species